rnacentral:rRNA from 1 species
UACGUAGGUUCCGAGCGUUAUCCGGAUUUACUGGGCGUAAAGCGCGUUCAGGCGGUUUGGCAAGUCGGGCAUGAAAUCUCUCGGCUCAACCGGGAGAGGUUGUCCGAUACUGCUGGACUUGAGGGCAGUAGAGGGUGGUGGAAUUCCGGGUGUAGUGGUGAAAUGCGUAGAUAUCCGGAGGAACACCAGUGGCGAAAGCGGCCACCUGGACUGCACCUGACGCUGACACGCGAAAGCUAGGGGAGCGAACGGG